GAAUCCGCUAAGGAGUGUGUAACAACUCACCUGCCGAAUGAAUUAGCCCUGAAAAUGGAUGGCGCUGAAGCGGGUAGCCGACACCACGCCGUCUGGACAAAGUGGUCUUUCAGAUGAGUAGGAGGGCGUGGCGGUUGUAUCGAAGCGUGGAUGCGAAUCUGCGUGGAACAGCCGCUAGUGCAGAUCUUGGUGGUAGUAGCAAAUAUUCAAGCGAGAUCCUUGAAGGGCGAAGCGGGGAAGGGUUCCACGCGAACAUUGAUUGGGCGUGGGUGAGUCGUUCCUAAGCCGCGUGGCAAUAGCUAAUUACCGGCGAAAGGGAAGCAGGUUGACAUUCCUGCACACGGAUGUGGAGACGGCGACGAUACAUGAGGCGAUCACGCUGGCGGUGGCGCUGGGCAGAGUUGUCUUUUCUGUUUGACCAUUGAAUACUUGCUGUGUGGAAUCCGCUUGUCGGGAGAAACACGCAGGUACGGGCAGAGCGCCGGGGCUUUUCCGGCGUCCAGCUCGCCACCGACGGCCCUUGAAAAAUUGCCUGCUGAACAACACUUGUGUUGUGAGAUCCACGCCGUGGCGUACCGAUAACCGCAUCAGGUCCCCAAGGUGAACAGCCUCUGCUCAGUAUGAACAAUGCAGGUAAGGGAAGUCGGCA
rnacentral:rRNA from 1 species